AUAAGCAGCCAUGUCACUCUGCAACUCACAAUGCGCAUUCCAUUGAAGCUCAGCAGGUGUGAGCCUGGUCCGUACCUGGAUGGGAGACCUCCUGGGAAAAACUAAGGUUGCUGCUGGAA
rnacentral:rRNA from 1 species